rnacentral:rRNA from 1 species
CCCAGGGGACGUGGAUAACCUCGGGAAACUGAGGAUAAACCGCGAUAGGUCACUACUUCUGGAAUGGGUAAUGACCCAAACCUAUAUGGCCCCUGGAUUGGACUGCGGCCGAUCAGGCUGUUGGUGAGGUAAUGGCCCACCAAACCUGUAACCGGUACGGGCUCUGAGAGGAGGAGCCCGGAGAUGGGCACUGAGACAAGGGCCCAGGCCCUAUGGGGCGCAGCAGGCGCGAAGCCUCUGCAAUAGGCGAAAGCUUGACAGGGUUACUCUGAGUGAUUUCCGUUAAGGAGAUCUUUUGGCACCUCUAAAAAUGGUGCAGAAUAAGGGGUGGGCAAGUCUGGUGUCAGCCGCCGCGGUAAUACCAGCACCCCGAGUGGUCGGGACGUUUAUUGGGCCUAAAGCAUCCGUAGCCGGUUCUACAAGUCUUCCGUUAAAUCCACCUGCUCAACAGAUGGGCUGCGGAAGAUACUAUGGAGCUAGGAGGCGGGAGAGGCAAGCGGUACUCGAUGGGUAGGGGUAAAAUCCGUUGAUCCAUUGAAGACCACCAGUGGCGAAGGCGGCUUGCCAGAACGCGCUCGACGGUGAGGGAUGAAAGCUGGGGGAGCAAACCGGAUUAGAUACCCGGGUAGUCCCAGCUGUAAACGAUGCA